AUCAAGUGACUUUGGUUAUAUGCAUUACUAGACUGGUUCGUCAAAAGGGUCUUCAUUUGAUAAUUCAGGCAAUAAAGCGGGUGGAGGAGUUAAUAGGCAGACAGCAGUCUGCUACUGAAGGAAAAGGG